AACGCACAUUGCACUCCUCUGGAGUAUGCCUGUUUGAGUUCGUGAAUGAGCAAGGAGAUUUGAAGCCCCCAUCUCUUGGUGGGUUCUUUUAAAUAGAUUGCUACUAGUAAUAUGAAAAUGCUUGACAUUUCUCUAUAUCUAUUAGAAAAGUAUGUGUAUGGAACUGUGGUUUCUCAUAAUGCCUAUUAUCUUAGAGGAGAUUUGGAGUUUUCAUAUGAACAGUUAGUUCACACCUAUAAAGGCGCAAGCCUUGAACCAUGGUCUCAAAUCAGGUAGGAAGACCCGCUGAACUUAA
rnacentral:misc_RNA from 1 species